UUUCAAAUCUUAGCGGCGGACGCGGUGUAGUAACACGUGGGCAACCUGCCCUUGAGACGGGGAUAUUCUCCGGGAAACCGGAGCUAAUACCGGAUAACACAUAUCUUCCAUGAGGAUAUGUUAGAAGGUGGCUUUUACUACCACUCAAGGAUGGGCCCGCGGCGCAUUAGCUAGUUGGUGAGGUAACGGCUCACCAAGGCGACGAUGCGUAGCCGACCUGAGAGGGUGAUCGGCCACACUGGGACUGAGACACGGCCCAGACUCCUACGGGAGGCAGCAGUAGGGAAUCUUCCGCAAUGGACGAAAGUCUGACGGAGCAACGCCGCGUGAGUGAUGAAGGUUUUCGGAUCGUAAAGCUCUGUUGUUAGGGAAGAACAAGUACCUGUUGAAUAAGCAGGUACCUUGACGGUACCUAAACCAAAAAGCCACGGCUAAACUACGUGCCAGCAGCCGCGGGUAAUACCGUAGGUGGCAAGCGUUUGUCCGGAAAUUUAUUGGGCGUAAAUGCGGCGCGCAAGGCGGGUUUCCUUAAGUCUGAUGUGAAAGCCCCACGGCUUCAACCCGGGGAGGGGUCCAUUGGAAACUGGGGGAACUUUGAGUGC
rnacentral:rRNA from 2 species